rnacentral:rRNA from 1 species
UACGUAGGGUGCAAGCGUUGUCCGGAAUUAUUGGGCGUAAAGAGCUCGUAGGCGGUUUGUUGCGUCGGCUGUGAAAUCCCGAGGCUCAACCUCGGGUCUGCAGUCGAUACGAGCAAACUAGAGUGUUGCAGGGGGAGACUGGAAUUCCUGGUGUAGCGGUGAAAUGCGCAGAUAUCAGGAGGAACACCGGUGGCGAAGGCGGGUCUCGUGGGCAACAACUGACGCUGAGGAAGCGAA